UGAAAAGCCCCGCUCAUCUGGCGGGGUUUUUUAUUGCCCGGAUCGUCCAUUCCUCAAGAUACAAAAAAUCCCGGACAAAGCCGGGAUUUUAGAGCGCAUCCCGAAAAGUGUGGAACGGUUUUCGGAAAAGAUGCGCGUCAAAACAAAGGAUUAGAGCGCCGAUCUGAUUCAAU
rnacentral:misc_RNA from 1 species